CCUUCAGUAGCUCAGUGGCUAGAACUUUCGGCUGUUAACCGAAAAGACGUUGGUUCAAAUGCAACCUGAGGAG